CAGUAGCCGCGGUAAUACGGAGGAUCCAAGCGUCAUCCGGAUUUAUUGGGUUUAAAGGGUGCGUAGGUGGCCUGUUAAGUCAGGGGUGAAAGACGGUAGCUCAACUAUCGCAGUGCCUUUGAUACUGACGGGCUUGAAUGAACUAGAGGUAGGCGGAAUGUGACAAGUAGCGGUGAAAUGCAUAGAUAUGUCACAGAACACCAAUUGCGAAGGCAGCUUACUAUGGUUUUAUUGACACUGAGGCACGAAAGCGUGGGGAUCAAACAGGAUUAGAUACCCCUGUAGUCCCUGUCUCUUAUAC
rnacentral:rRNA from 1 species